rnacentral:rRNA from 1 species
UACGUAGGCAGCAAGCGUUGUUCGGAGUUACUGGGCGUAAAGGGUGCGUAGGCGGCUUUUUAAGUUUGGUGUGAAAUCUCCCGGCUCAACUGGGAGGGUGCGCCGAAUACUGAGAGGCUAGAGUGUCGGAGAGGUAAGUGGAAUUCCUGGUGUAGCGGUGAAAUGCGUAGAUAUCAGGAGGAACACCGGUGGUGUAAACGGCUUACUGGACGAUAACUGACGCUGAUGCACGAAAGCGUGGGUAGCAAACAGG